rnacentral:lncRNA from 1 species
CAAAAUGGUGGAAUCAGAUCAGCCUGGCAAGCUUUUCAUUGGUGGCCUCCGUUUAGAAACCAAUGAAAAGAUGCUUAAAGCAGUAUUUGGGAAAUAUGGUCCCAUACUGGAAGUUCUUUUGAUAAAUGAUUGGGAAACCAGCAACUUCAGAUGCUUUGUACUUAUUUUGAAAACCUGCAGAUGCUAAGAAUGCUGUCAAAGAUAUGAAGGGAAACUCUUUGGAUGGAAAAGCAAUAAAAGUAGAACAAGUCAAGAAAACAUCUUUUCAAAGUGAUGGUAGGUGGAGAUCACCACCUUCCUGGAGAAACAGGAGCCCUUCAGGAAGUCUGAGAUCUGCAAGAGGAGGUAGUAGAGGACAAGAGGGUUGUGUCCCUCAUGUGAAGGACAACUGGAAUUCAUACAAGUUCCCGGGACACCAGGGAUUAUGCUCCACCAUCUAGAGAUUAUGGAUACCAUGAUUACGGUCAUUCUAGUUGGAAUGAACAAUCCUCUAGAGCAUAUAGUGACUGUGAUGGCUGUGGUGGGGGCCGUGGUAGAGAUCCUUUAGUACAUCCCAGUGGAAGUUCUUACAGAAAUGCAUAUCAGAGUUAUGGGACCUCUCCUGGUGAACAACCUGCAUGAGAGCCUUGGAUGAGUUAUGGUGGAAGUAGUCACUAUGAUUAUAACAGUACAUGAGAUAUAUAUGGCAGAAGUCAGGAGAGUUACUCAUGAAGCAGUGGUGAUUUAUAUUCCUGUGGUCAUGAGCGCGGUGGCAGAAAGGAAUGAAGGAAUCUACCUUCUGUGGAUAGGGUGCACCCUGCUGCUGGUGAAGGAUACAGUAGCUCAAGUUAUGGGGCAUCUACAGCAAGUGGUGAGGGAAAACAAGGUGAAAAAGGAGGCUGAAGCAGAUAUUAA